UGACCUGGAAGACAAGGGGUGGGGGAAAAUGCAUGUUGCCUAUCACACAGAACCACCAAAAUGGGGCAGAGCAUACUGGGUAGCUAACCUAGCAGCAACAAGCAGGAGAUGUGGGAACAGACUGCUCUGGAGGGCCUGAUUUCUGGAACCAGGAAAAUAAGCAUUCUCUUUGCACCCUCUUCCCGGCCUAUACCUGAAGAUGCUGGAUUCUAAAUCGACAGGAAGGCGCUCUUCCCGUUAGCAUACACUGGUGUAAGGGAAAGUCUAGCUGGGCCCAAGUUUCUUUCACAAUGCAGGGCAGGUCUGGGCACCCGUGCCUGCCAAUGUACCAACGGUCUAUCCUGCCUCUGCUCUAGGUGGUCUUCAUAGGCCUGGUUGUAACUGGCCAAGACCUCGUUGAGUCACAGUGGCUACGAUUAUUUACCCCAUCGAUUUCCUACUCAAGGUCGACUUCCAAAUAAAGUGAGUGGUGGAAGUGAACCUUCAGACCCGAGAGAAGUCACUUCCGUGUCACGUGACGACUCGUCCGCCUAGCGUCACCCGACGCCUGAGUGCCGCUGCUACCGGAAACUCCGCCCCUUUGCCCGGCCUCCAGUAGCUAGAGGGAGGGCUCGCGUGGUCCCGCCCGUCGCGCGCGUUGGCUCCGCCCCUUGUGUCUUGUCUUCCAACCCCCACCCGCGUCCCAAGACGCGAAGAAAACCAAAUACAGGUAUUGUCUCAAAACAGGAUUUUUUUUUUUUUCUCUUUUGGGCGCUCGGAGGCAGGACCAUGAAACUGUUCCCCGGAACUUUUUUCCACCUACGCGCAGCAACUCAAGGUCACCUCACCUUAACAGCCUUUCCACAAAGGGCGUAGAUUGCUACUUACUUCUCUACCGGCCUGAAAUGUGCUCCCCAAACCUUGGCCUAUCGCGCAGUUUCCCUCUUAGGAAACCCAGCUUAAGCUUCGGCUGGGUCAAGAUGUAUUUUGCCAGUCCAGCUGUCAUCUAGCCUUUUCUGUGGUAGACUCUCAGUCCAGUCUUCGCUGCCUUGUCUGUUCCACCGACAGGCUGUCAGUAUUUACUUCUGUGUCCUUUCUUUGUUACUAAAAGGCAGGGCAUGCAGGCUCUGCCGUGCGUCCCCCACAGCAGCUAGCACUAAAACUGGCACGCCUGCGGUCCCCAAGGAGUGCUUGUGGCCCUGCCCUUAACUUCGGCACUUAUUACAGGUGACCUGUAUGGUGCUUUGUCUGUAUUUUCUCCAUAUCUGUGUUUGGCCUCUAACCUCAUUUUCCUGGUGAGCAAAGAUGCCAUCCUUCAGGACAGCAAUUAAGGUUUUCCUUCCAUCUUUCAUUUUAAAAUAUGCCAACAAUGUGGAAGUACAGAGAUGGAACUGAGCAAGACAUUUUUAAUGUUCAGAUUAAGCCUAGUAUCGAAAAGCCUAUAUUUACCUUUUCCUGUAUGUCUGCCUCUAAUCUUGAAGGCAGCGUGGUGUUAGACAUUCACUCCUUCAGCCUCUUUGUGAAACGCUUAACAAAUGCCAGGCACUGUUCUAAAACAAAACAAGGCCCUUGCACUCUUGAAGCUCACCUUCCUAUGCAGGGGCUUGCAAAAUUUUUGGCCACAAAUCCACAAUAACAUGCUUUAAAUCAUGACUCAGCACACACACAUGUUUACAACAAAAUUUUUUGACCUCGUACUUAUCCUUGUAUGUACAACUGCACUGUAGUAUUUUAUAUUCUAUUUUUUUCAAAUCUGGUCGCAAUUUCCCAUCCCAUUAACAAGUCAGGACCCACAGUUUGAAAAACACCUUUUUUAGUAGACUUUUAUCUCCAGAGCCUUGCACCUUUUUCUAGGCUGAAGUUUGCGAUCCGUAAUUGGGAAGUCAAGGAGUGAAUAAAUCCUUGAAGGUCAGAUCACACCUUCCCUGUGCCCUAACUUUUCCAAAUCAGAUCCUAACUUGAUUCCACCCCAGAGCCUGAAACUGGAGAAGUCACUAAUCUAUCCCAGCCCCUACCCAUGCUCAAGGUGUCAGAAAAUACAGAACUGAACCUAGGAAAGGGAACUUCCCUUAUUUCUCUCUGUGGGCUCUCAGAGACCCUAAAAGUGUGUUGACUGUAGCAGUCUGUCAAUGAGAGUAUAAGAGGUGGUCCCUAAAUCAAGACACUAGUUCUGUUCUCACUGUCACCCGCUGACUUUGGUCCUCU